AAGGGAGGAUGGAUGGAUAUCCCUGAGUUGACAGAUACCACUGUGCCUCUGCAGUUGGUACCCAAAAGAGAUAUUAGAAUCUGAAAGCUUUUCAACCUCUCUAAAGAGGAUGAUGUCUUCCAAUACAUUUUCAGAAAGUCCUUAAGCAAAGAAGGUAAAAAGGUCCCCUCAGGACCAAGGCCCUCAAAAUUCAGCUUCUUGUUAUUCCACGUCCUGUAAUACAAUUGCUGUGCUGUUGCUCUAAAGAAACCAAACACUAAGAAUAAAGACAAGGAGGCAUCAGAAUAUGCUAAACUUUUGGCCAAGAGAAUGAAGGAAGCCAAAGAGAAAACACCAGGGACAGAUUGACAAGACUGGAAGGCUGUCUUUGCUGGGAGCUUCUACUUCUGAGUUCAGUCAA
rnacentral:lncRNA from 1 species